AGAAUACGGGGAGCUUUUUUGGCUGAGAGGAAGUUCGGCUUCGACCCAUAAACCUGAUUUGGAUAAUGCCAACGUAGGAAUUAAUGUA
rnacentral:ncRNA from 1 species